rnacentral:pre_miRNA from 1 species
GACAUACUCCCUCCGUUCGGAAUUACUCAUCCAAGAAAUGAAUGUAUCUAGAUGUAUUUUAGUUAUAGAUACAUCUAUUUUUGUGACAAGUAAUUUCGAACGGAGGAAUUAGAUG